rnacentral:rRNA from 1 species
UACGGAGGGGGUUAGCGUUGUUCGGAAUUACUGGGCGUAAAGCGCGCGUAGGCGGAUUAGAAAGUUGGGGGUGAAAUCCCGGGGCUCAACCUCGGAACUGCAUCCAAAACUGCUAGUCUAGAGUUCGAGAGAGGUGAGUGGAAUUCCGAGUGUAGAGGUGAAAUUCGUAGAUAUUCGGAGGAACACCAGUGGCGAAGGCGGCUCACUGGCUCGAUACUGACGCUGAGGUGCGAAAGNGUGGGGAGCAAANAGG